UGCCAGAAGAUGGAGCUCUAGGAACCAUUCUAGUUCAGUCUCAGUUCAGUUGUUUAAAACAGAGACAGACUUACAUUGAGUCACUUAUACUCUAGUAGAGAACUGUGAGUCUUGAGUCUCAAAGUCAUUGACUCUUACUAGUGCAGAUGUUGCUCCUGGUAUUCAUUUUAUUUUCUCUGCUAAAAGAGAAUGCUGCUGCAGACGUGAUAACACCAUUAUUCACAGACAAGCAUGUUUUGGAAGGAAAAGAUGUUACACUGAUCUGCAAUUACACUGUCAGUGUUCAAAAUUUGCAGUGGUACCGUCAGUAUCCCGGAUCCAGACCAGAACACCUCAUUUUCUUCACUGAGUCCAGCCCCAAACCAGAGUCCUCUCUCCGUCUGACCGCUGAAGCUGAUAAAGCCAACAAACAUAUGAAUCUGACGAUCUCUUCUACAGAAGUGAAAGACUCUGCCAUGUACUACUGUGCCCUGGUGCCCACAGUGACAGGAAACACUACUGCACCCUACAAAAACUCAAUGAGAAAUUAUAUUCAAGGCAGAGGAUCAUUAUGCACAAUGCUGAUUUAAAAACAGUGGCACUGUACAACUAUCAAAUGUUUCAAGUAUUAAGGUGGUGCUCAUAUCUGAAUUAAGAGGUUGUCUAAUAUUAUAUUUCAGAGAAUCAGGACACACUACCAGUUGAACAUGCUUUUAAAACUUAUUCAAACAUGUAGCAACUGUGUGGACAGGUGAGUUAGGAAAUAUUUGUGUGGUGUUUUUUUUUUUUAAUGAUCAUUAACUGUUAUUUUCAUUAAUGGUAAAUGUGUGGCACCUUGUGCUGCCAGACUUAUUGUUGUAGAUUACUAAUAAUCAUAUUCAAUCUUCUUAGGCCAAACAUUUUUUUUUUUCUGUGUAAGA